rnacentral:rRNA from 1 species
AUUGAACGCUGGCGGCAGGCUUAACACAUGCAAGUCGAGCGGAGAUGAGGUGCUUGCACCUUAUCUUAGCGGCGGACGGGUGAGUAAUGCUUAGGAAUCUGCCUAUUAGUGGGGGACAACAUUCCGAAAGGAAUGCUAAUACCGCAUACGUCCGACGGGAGAAAGCAGGGGACCUUCGGGCCUUGCGCUAAUAGAUGAGCCUAAGUCGGAGUAGCUAGUUGGUGGGGUAAAGGCCUACCAAGGCGACGAUCUGUAGCGGGUCUGAGAGGAUGAUCCGCCACACUGGGACUGAGACACGGACCAGACUCCUACGGGAGGCAGAAGUGGGGAAUAUUGGACAAUAGGCGGAAGCCUGAUCCAGCCAUGCCGCGUGUGUGAAGAAGGCCUUUUGGUUGUAAAGCACUUUAAGCGAGGAGGAGGCUACUUAGAUUAAUACUCUAGGAUAGUGGACGUUACUCGCAGAAUAAGCACCGGCUAACUCUGUGCCAGCCGCCGCCGUAAGAC